GUUGAUCAUGGCUCAGGAUGAACGCUAGCGACAGGCUUAACACAUGCAAGUCGAGGGGCAGCAUAGAAGUAGCAAUACUUGGUGGCGACCGGCGCACGGGUGAGUAACGCGUAUGCAACCUACCUAUCAGAGGGGAAUAACCCGGCGAAAGUCGGACUAAUACCGCAUAAAACAGGGGCACCGCAUGGUGAUAUUUGUUAAAGAAAUUCGCUGAUAGAUGGGCAUGCGUUCCAUUAGGUAGUUGGUGAGGUAACGGCUCACCAAGCCGACGAUGGAUAGGGGAACUGAGAGGUUGGUCCCCCACACUGGUACUGAGACACGGACCAGACUCCUACGGGAGGCAGCAGUGAGGAAUAUUGGUCAAUGGGCGGGAGCCUGAACCAGCCAAGUCGCGUGAAGGAAAAGAAGGAUCUAUGGUUCGUAAACUUCUUUUGCAGGGGAAUAAAGUGCAGGACGUGUCCUGUUUUGUAUGUACCCUGAGAAUAAGGAUCGGCUAACUCCGUGCCAGCAGCUGC
rnacentral:rRNA from 1 species